UCAAUCUCGGUCAGGUCUGAAAACACAUAAUAUGUUUAAGAUAUUCAACUGCUUUUAUUCAGUCAGCCUUAGAUGUGACCAGAAUGGAUUAGUAUUGGACAUUUGUGCAGUGAACAAGUGUAAUGCCUUCAGGCUCGAAGUGUACACGGCCUAUUUGGAUUCGGUUGAUUCAAGUCCGGAAUGGACAAGUAUUAUUAGGAAAAGCAUGCUCCCGGUGCUUGGGCCCCGUCAUCGAACGUCGGUGAAACGCGUUUAACUAGACAAAUGUAUACGCUAUUCUGAGGCUGAGUCCACACGUGCAUGCAACGAUUAUAUCGUAUAUAACUUCAUCGCUAGAGCAAAAUGCAAAGACCUCACAGACGCCAAAAAACAGCCAGUGUUCCAGAGGAAUAACUAAUAAACGCCGAGAUAGUCUUCCGAACGUCGUCUUGCUUUUCAUCCCUUUACCAGGUCUCCGCGAAGUCAGAAGGUCUUCUCGACAUGCCCAAACCCUUCUUCGUAUCGCUCGUUCGGCCGAAGUCAAAUAUGGAGUGGCAGAUGAACAGUAAAUAGAAAGACAACAAAUUACGACGACUGGCGCAUAUAGGUGUCGGUCGCUGUCAAUAGAAGCCAACCGCAGCCCUAAAGAAACUGUGCCUUUACUAUCGGCGCAGCUUCAAUUUUUAUGCCCUAUAAGUUUAAAUAAAUAAACAGGUCUGAAGUAAUUAUGUAGAGCAUAUAGGUCAACUUGUUUGCGUGAGGUUUCUCUGAUGUGAGAUUCUUUUUUCUUAUUGGAAAACGCAUCACUUGAACAAAAACAAAAUUCUUAACCCCUAUUAAAUCGUUGUAGCGUUUCAACGCAUCGACCAGAUUAGUGUAGCUGCAUUAUCAUUAGAAAUCAUAAUCACUUCUAUUGGCAAACUUCAGUUUGAACACUUAACGGUAUGUUUUGGAGGUAAAUAAAAAAAGGACUGAAAGAAGAGUGCGAUAUAGGGAGUAAACAAAAAGUGCG